UUUAGAAUGGGGAUACUUCAGGACAUAGAAAGAUCCACUCUGGUAGAAUAACAUUCAUGGAGCUAACACAUCGCCAUCUCAUGAAGAUGAUGUAGAGACUGACGCAAUACAAGGCAACGUAUGACCCCACUGUUAUUUUUUCUGGCGAC
rnacentral:lncRNA from 1 species